GAGACGUGCUGCUGCUGCGCACUUUCUGCAUCUCCGAAGCAGCACAGGAUUGUCGUGAAAUGUAAGCGGUACAAAAGCAAUUUACUAGACAUGAAAAUACAGAAGCUCUCUCAUAACCCACGCAGACAACCUCACAGUCCAACAAAACAAAGAAAGAGGUGGAUAUGGUGAAACUGUACGGACGGUGAACGAUGGGCGCGGACAGGAAUUCCACACCCCUGGGAGAAUCAUGGUCCCAGCUUUUCUUAAUUAUUUCCUACAACCUACAGGAAUUUUGAAGGGCCAUCCUUAGCUGUGGGCCCCCAGAAUCAUCAACACCUUUCACCUCACCAGUAAAGACGAGUGAAGUGAAGUCACAAAGACAUUUUAUGGCUACAGAGGCGAACUGCACAGAAUGUGGUCGACAUGUUUAGAUAACAGACGGAUCUACAGUUUCAGGAGCUGAGGCCCUCACGCUGCAGGGACGGAUUUCAUGCUCUGGGUUGUCACCAGGACAAGACUGAGACAAGGUUUGGAUUGAGACUAGAGUCCUGCUGGGAUAGGAGGGGGUUUCUGAAAAUAUUUAGAGUAUCAUUGGAAGUGCUGAGGACACAUUUGAUGGACUUGUUAUAGCAGACGUUGGUGUUCCAAAAGCGGCCAUAAACGUGGUUUCUGAUGUGGCCAAAUAUAUCCAGCACUUGGGAGCAAAGUGGGUCAGCAAGUUCUCUCAUGAACUUUCAGUCUAAUAUGAAACUUAAGGCUUAGUUUUUAUUAUUGCAAACUUUUACUAUUUUCUAUGUGAGUGAAUCUAAAAAAUGUUUCCACCAAAAGCCCAUAUUUAGUCUUUUGACUGUCGGACAAUACUGAAAAAAGGUUCAUUGUAAUUUUCAAAAGUAUGAGGUUAUGUUCAAAAACCAAAAGAAACACAGUUAACAGGCAAAAAAGUUCAUGGAAAUCUAGAAAUUCUUCACAUUUUACACAGUAGAUCCAGAAGACAUCAAUGAUUUUUUGUUAGUUUAGAGGUAUAAAUCGUAAAUUUAUUAUCAAAAAUUGUUGUCCAUUAAUUAAAGGCAGUGUGUUUUUGUCCACCAAACCAAUGACUUAAAAGAGCUUCAUUUAGUAAUAAUUUCAACCUAUCGAUGUGUGAAAUAUUCUAUAUCUCCUCCAAGACCAAAACUCCUUCAUCUAUCUGGUAAUUAGUGUAAGUGUAAUAAUAAGCAGAUACCACUCUUGAAAUACUUUUAAACUCCUUGAUAUUGUUCCUGCUUGUCAAUCUGAAAGCAGCAGCAGUCAGCGUGUCGGCGGCUAAUGACAGAGGAAGUGACGUCUGACAGCUCCGGUCUGCCGCCGUGGUCGGUCCUUUAAGAGCAAAAGGAGGUGUCCGCGUUUCAAAGCUAAUGGAGGAGGAGAAAAUGGCUGUGUCAGUCCUGUCAACGUAUUAUGUUUUAAACCUAGACAGUUGUUGUCGCUCUAGCAGGCCCAUAAUUUUAUGCCAUUAAAAGUGCCAAGGGGGAAAGAGUGAAGGAGGAAGGAAGCGAAGCAGGAGGGAGGGAGGAUUUUUCUACCUCUUGUUCCCUUCAUGCCUGAUUCCCUGCCACUUUUGUGUUGGAAACUUUUGGCAUUUCUUGAAAGCAUAAAGACUAGUUGGAGCUUUAAAGUGAUCAUAAAGUCAAUCAUGUUGGCUCGAAUUACCCGGCAAUCUCUGUCAGUUAGUCGCUCUUUCAGACGCUUUGCCAUAAGAUGUGUGUGGGAGUGGGGUGUAGAUGUGUGUGUGAUGCCCCUGUGUACAUUAAUGUACAGACUGUAAGUGUGUAUGACACAGAAGACUGAAAAUAA